GAGGAUUACACUGUCUCCCCCCCUAAAUCAAUGAAACUGAUCCCCCCGUGAAGAAGCGGGGAUAAAUAUAUAAGACGAGAAGACCCUAUGGAGCUUUAAACUAAACACCACUUACCUUCAACCACUCCCUUACAAACAGGUAAAGAUCGUGUGUGUUUUCAGUUGGGGUGACUGCGGAGCAAAAUAAAACCUCCACGAUGAAAUAAUCCUCUAAUCUAAGAACAACAUUUCAAAGAAUCAAUAAAUUGACAUAAAUUGACCCAAAUAUUAAUUUGAUCAACGAACCAAGUUACCCUAGGGAUAACAGCGCAAUCCAUUUCAAGAGCUCAUAUCGACAAAUG
rnacentral:rRNA from 1 species